rnacentral:rRNA from 1 species
UACGGGGGGAGCAAGCGUCGUUCGGAUUUACUGGGCGUAAAGGGCGCGUAGGCGGCCAGCACAAGUCAGUUGUGAAAUCUCCGAGCUUAACUCGGAAAGGUCAACUGAUACUGUGCGGCUAGAGUGCGGAAGGGGCAACUGGAAUUCUUGGUGUAGCGGUGAAAUGCGUAGAUAUCAAGAGGAACACCUGCGGCGAAGGCGGGUUGCUGGGCCGACACUGACGCUGAGGCGCGAAAGCUAGGGGAGCGAACGGG